rnacentral:rRNA from 1 species
GACGAACGCUGGCGGCGUGCCUAAUACAUGCAAGUCGAGCGAACGGACGAGAAGCUUGCUUCUCUGAUGUUAGCGGCGGACGGGUGAGUAACACGUGGAUAACCUACCUAUAAGACUGGGAUAACUUCGGGAAACCGGAGCUAAUACCGGAUGAUAUUUUGAACCGCAUGGUUCAAAAGUGAAAGACGGUCUUGCUGUCACUUAUAGAUGGAUCCGCGCUGCAUUAGCUAGUUGGUAAGGUAACGGCUUACCAAGGCAACGAUGCAUAGCCGACCUGAGAGGGUGAUCGGCCACACUGGAACUGAGACACGGUCCAGACUCCUACGGGAGGCAGCAGUAGGGAAUCUUCCGCAAUGGGCGAAAGCCUGACGGAGCAACGCCGCGUGAGUGAUGAAGGUCUUCGGAUCGUAAAACUCUGUUAUUAGGGAAGAACAUAUGUGUAAGUAACUGUGCACAUCUUGACGGUACCUAAUCAGAAAGCCACGGCUAACUACGUG